UGUGAGGAUACUGGAAAAGGACAGCUA
rnacentral:piRNA from 1 species